CGGUUUUCAAGCAGGUGCAAGCCUGGCGGCGGUCAGCGGUGGUCUUGGCCAUGCGCAGGAGUCCCCUCAUCCCGUUGCAGCAAGCAGCGGUGACUGGUGCACGUCCGGUCAAAUAGGUAAGACACGGGGCCAUCCCGCUGCUCACUUGCCCGCAGGUCAACCCGCUGACCGUCAUGGGUGCGGCCACCAAGGCGCAGACUAGCAAGACAGAAACCAACUUCAAUGCAGCUGCCAUUUUGGUAAUUAAAUUGAUUCUAUGCGGGGGAUUUUGUAAAGUUGCUUUGGUAUGUUUUUGAAGAAUUG
rnacentral:lncRNA from 1 species